rnacentral:tRNA from 1 species
CCAAACCAAACAGAGUCAUCCUGAGGUCGUGCGUUCGAUCCGCACAGGAGGCA